UACGUAGGGUCCGAGCGUUGUCCGGAAUUAUUGGGGCGUAAAGAGCUCGUAGGCGGUAUGUCGCGUCUGCUGUGAAAGACCGGGGCUUAACUUCGGUUUUGCAGUGGAUACGGGCAUGCUUGAGGUAGGUAGGGGAGACUGGAAUUCCUGGUGUAGCGGUGAAAUGCGCAGAUAUCAGGAGGAACACCAGUGGCGAAGGCGGCGCUCUGGGCUGGAACUGACACUGAGGAGCGAAAGCGUGGGGAGCAAACAGGAUUAGAUACCCGUGUA
rnacentral:rRNA from 1 species